ACGGCGGAGUAAUACAUGAACAACGUGCCCUAAAGACCGGGAUAGUCAUUGGAAACGAUGGGUAAUACCGGAUGUGACCCUCACUAGGCAUCUAGAGAGGAUUAAAUGGUUUUUCGCUUUAGGAGCGGUUCAUGGCCUAUCAGGUAGUUGGUGGGGUAAUGGCCUACCAAGCCGACGACGGGUAGCGGGUCUGAGAGGAUGAUCCGCUCGAGUGGGACUGAGACACGGCCCACACACCUACGGGUGGCAGCAGUUGGGAAUCUUGCACAAUGGGGGAAACCCUGAUGCAGCGACGCCGCGUGGAGGAUGACGGAUCUAGGUCUGUAAACUCCUUUUGCACAGAAAGACUUAGGACGGUACUGUGCGAAUAAGGACCGGCUAACUACGCGCCAGCAGCCGCGGUAAGACGUAGGGUCCAAGCGUUGUCCGGAUUUACUGGGCGUAAAGAGCGCGUAGGCGGCUCGUUAAGUGUGAAGUGAAAUCUCCAGGGCUCAACCCGGAAACUGCUUCGCAUACUGGCGGGCUUGAGGAAUGCAGAGGUUUGUGGAAUUCCUGGUGUAGCGGUGAAAUGCGUUGAUA
rnacentral:rRNA from 1 species